rnacentral:rRNA from 1 species
AUUGAACGCUGGCGGCAUGCCUUACACAUGCAAGUCGAACGGCAGCGCGGGGCAACCUGGCGGCGAGUGGCGAACGGGUGAGUAAUAUAUCGGAACGUACCCUGGAGUGGGGGAUAACGUAGCGAAAGUUACGCUAAUACCGCAUACGAUCUAAGGAUGAAAGUGGGGGCAUCGCAAGACCUCAUGCUCCUGGAGCGGCCGAUAUCUGAUUAGCUAGUUGGUGGGGUAAAGGCCUACCAAGGCAUCGAUCAGUAGCUGGUCUGAGAGGACGACCAGCCACACUGGAACUGAGACACGGUCCAGACUCCUACGGGAGGCAGCAGUGGGAAAUUUUGGACAAUGGGCGCAAGCCUGAUCCAGCAAUGCCGCGUGAGUGAAGUAGGCCUCGGGUUGUAAAGCUCUUUUGUCAGGGAAGAAACGGUGGGGGCUAAUAUCUCCUGCUAAUGACGGUACCUGAAGAAUAAGCACCGGCUAACUACGUGCCAGCAGCCGCGGUAAUACGUAGGGUGCAAGCGUUAAUCGGAAUUACUGGGCGUAAAGCGUGCGCAGGCGGUUUUGUAAGUCUGUCGUGAAAUCCCCGGGCUCAACCUGGGAAUUGCGAUGGAGACUGCAAGGCUAGAAUCUGGCAGAGGGGGGUAGAAUUCCACGUGUAGCAGUGAAAUGCGUAGGGAUGUGGAGGAACACCGAUGGCGAAGGCAGCCCCUGGUCAAGAUUGACGCUCAUGCACGAAAGCGU